rnacentral:rRNA from 1 species
UACGUAGGGUGCAAGCGUUGUCCGGAAUUAUUGGGCGUAAAGAGCUCGUAGGCGGUUUGUCGCGUCUGCUGUGAAAAUCCCCGAGGCUCAACCUCGGGCCUGCAGUGGGUACGGGCAGACUAGAGUGCGGUAGGGGAGAUUGGAAUUCCUGGUGUAGCGGUGGAAUGCGCAGAUAUCAGGAGGAACACCGAUGGCGAAGGCAGAUCUCUGGGGCCGUAACUGACGCUGAGGAGCGAAAGCAUGGGGAGCGAA